rnacentral:rRNA from 1 species
GAUGAACGCUGGCGGCGUGCCUAAUACAUGCAAGUCGAGCGAACGGACGAGAAGCUUGCUUCUCUGAUGUUAGCGGCGGACGGGUGAGUAACACGUGGAUAACCUACCUAUAAGACUGGGAUAAUUUCGGGAAACCGGAGCUAAUACCGGAUAAUAUUUUGAACCGCAUGGUUCAAAAGUAAAAGACGGUCUUGCUGUCACUUAUAGAUGGAUCCGCGCUGCAUUAGCUAGUUGGUAAGGUAACGGCUUACCAAGGCAACGAUGCAUAGCCGACCUGAGAGGGUGAUCGGCCACACUGGAACUGAGACACGGUCCAGACUCCUACGGGAGGCAGCAGUAGGGAAUCUUCCGCAAUGGGCGAAAGCCUGACGGAGCAACGCCGCGUGAGUGAUGAAGGUCUUCGGAUCGUAAAACUCUGUUAUUAGGGAAGAACAUAUGUGUAAGUAACUGUGCACAUCUUGACGGUACCUAAUCAGAAAGCCACGGCUAACUACGUG